ensembl:misc_RNA Metazoa_SRP Metazoan signal recognition particle RNA
GCCAGGUGUGGUGGCAAGCACCUGUAGUCCCAACUACUUGGGAGGCUGAGGCAGGAGUAUUGCUUGAAUCCAGGAGUUCUGAGCUGUACUGUGCUAUGCUUAUCAGGCAUCCACACUAAGUUCAGCAUCAAUAUAGUGACCUCCUGGGAACAGGGAACCACCAGGUAACCUAAGGAGGGCUGAACUGGCCCCUGUCAGAAAUGGAGAAAGUGAAACCCCCAUGCCACUGAAUAGCCACUGCACUCCAGUGUGGGCAGCACAGUGAGACCUCAUCUCUA